UACGUAGGCAGCAAGCGUUGUUCGGAGUUACUGGGCGUAAAGGGCGUGUAGGCGGUUGGUUAAGUGUGGUGUGAAAUCUCCCGGCUCAACUGGGAGGGUGCGCUACAAACUGUCUGACUAGAGUGUGGGAGGGGUAAGUGGAAUUCCUGGUGUAGCGGUGAAAUGCGUAGAUAUCAGGAGGAACACCGGUGGUGUAGACGGCUUACUGGACCAUAACUGACGCUGAGACACGAAAGCGUGGGUAGCAAACAGG
rnacentral:rRNA from 1 species